UGGGGAAUUUUGGACAAUGGGCGAAAGCCUGAUCCAGCAAUGCCGCGUGUGUGAAGAAGGCCUUCGGGUUGUAAAGCACUUUUGUCCGGAAAGAAAUCCUUGGCUCUAAUACAGUCGGGGGAUGACGGUACCGGAAGAAUAAGCACCGGCUAACUACGUGCCAGCAGCCGCGGUAAUACGUAGGGUGCAAGCGUUAAUCGGAAUUACUGGGCGUAAAGCGUGCGCAGGCGGUUUGCUAAGACCGAUGUGAAAUCCCCGGGCUCAACCUGGGAACUGCAUUGGUGACUGGCAGGGCUAGAGUAUGGCAGAGGGGGGUAGAAUUCCACGUGUAGCAGUGAAAUGCGUAGAGAUGUGGAGGAAUACCGAUGGCGAAGGCAGCCCCCUGGGCCAAUACUGACGCUCAUGCACGAAAGCGUGGGGGAGCAAAACAGGAUUAGAUACCCUGGUAGUCCACGCCCUAAACGAUGUCAACUAGUUGUUGGGGAUUCAUUUCCUUAGUACGUAGCUAACGCGUGAAGUUGACC
rnacentral:rRNA from 1 species